rnacentral:rRNA from 1 species
UACAGAGGUCCCAAGCGUUGUUCGGAUUCAUUGGGCGUAAAGGGUGCGUAGGUGGCGCUGUAAGUCGGGUGUGAAAUUUCGGAGCUUAACUCCGAAACUGCAUUCGAUACUGCGGUGCUUGAGGACUGGAGAGGAGACUGGAAUUCAUGGUGUAGCAGUGAAAUGCGUAGAGAUCAUGAGGAAGACCAGUGGCGAAGGCGGCUACCUGGACAAUUGCUGACGCUCAGGCACGAAAGCGUGGGGAGCAAAAGGG